AACGAACGCUGGCGGCAUGCCUAACACAUGCAAGUCGAACGAAGCCUUCGGGCUUAGUGGCGCACGGGUGCGUAACGCGUGGGAAUCUGCCCCUUGCUUCGGAAUAACAGUUAGAAAUGACUGCUAAUACCGGAUGAAGUCUUCGGACCAAAGAUUUAUCGGCAAGGGAUGAGCCCGCGUAGGAUUAGGUAGUUGGUGGGGUAAAGGCCUACCAAGCCGACGAUCCUUAGCUGGUCUGAGAGGAUGAUCAGCCACACUGGGACUGAGACACGGCCCAGACUCCUACGGGAGGCAGCAGUGGGGAAUAUUGGACAAUGGACGCAAGUCUGAUCCAGCAAUGCCGCGUGAGUGAUGAAGGCCUUAGGGUGUAAAGCUCUUUUACCAGGGAUGAUAAUGACAGUACCUGGAGAAUAAGCUCCGGCUAACUCCGUG
rnacentral:rRNA from 1 species